GAUGAACGCUGGCGGCGUGCCUAAUACAUGCAAGUCGAGCGAACGGACGAGAAGCUUGCUUCUCUGAUGUUAGCGGCGGACGGGUGAGUAACACGUGGAUAACCUCCCUAUCAGACUGGGAUAACUACGGGAAACCGGAGCUAAUACCGGAUAAUAUUUUGAACCGCAUGGUUCAAAAGUGAAAGACGGUCUUGCUGUCACUUAUAGAUGGAUCCGCGCUGCAUUAGCUAGUUGGUAAGGUAACGGCUUACCAAGGCAACGAUGCAUAGCCGACCUGAGAGGGGGGUCGGCCACACUGGAACUGAGACACGGUCCAGACGCCUACGGGAGGCAGCAGUAGGGAAUCUUCCGCAAUGGGCGAAGGCCUGACGGAGCAACGCCGCGUGAGUGAUGAAGGUCUCCGGAUCGUAAAACUCUGUUAUCGGGGAAGAACAUAUGUGUAAGUGACUGUGCACAUCUUGACGGUACCUAAUCAGAAAGCCACGGCUAACUACGUG
rnacentral:rRNA from 1 species